UUGGAGCAUUGUUUUGAGUUUAAUUUUUCUCAAAUAUUAGAUAAUCAGUGGUUUUUUGUUGAAAUUGUUGAUGAAUGUUGCAUCCAUGGUUUGAUCUAUUAAUGUGCUUAUCAUAGCAUCCCCGAGUGAAGUCUAAGUAACCCGAGAGACAUGAAUGCUUGCCUUGCCCUAUGAUAGAUUGGGUGAUGCCAUUCUUAAGGGUAUAGGGUUAUUUGUGUUUAUAUUGGUGCCAUAAUUUCUUCAAGAGCUAAAUGGACGAUAUGUGAAGUUGUGAGGUUGGAAGUGGCGUGGCAUAAAAUUGGAUAAAAAAUCCCUUAGAAUCAAAGUUCCUAAUUAGACUACAAGUCAUUGGGACUCAUAUCCCUAGUCGGGGUGAUGACAAUAAAGGAUGCUGACUGAAGGAUUAAAGUUGAGGCUUGUCGUGGUGAUGGUAAUGAAGGAUGCUAACUGAAGAAUUGAAGUUGAGGAUGACUAUGACAAGUUAGGAGUGAAAAUAAUUCAUGGUGUUAGUUUUUCUGAUCAAAUGAGAAAAAGUCAUGAAGAUAACCAAGUUGAAGCCCUAGUGGAUACGAAAAAAGACUAUGAUUUAUCACGACAAGGUAUGAAUCAUAGGGAGGAGUCGUUAUGAGAAUGGAGAGAAAUUACUGAAAGGUUAAAGUAUACAUGAUUUAUAAGUACAAACAACGACUCAAAGGAUCUAACGAUGUGUUGUCAUCACUGACUGAAGAAUAAAUGCAAUGGAGCUGACAAUGAGUCGUUGUCCGUCCAGACGACUUGUUGCCUAUGGCAUGGCCACUGCCAACUUAAUUUUCCCUUUUUUGUUUUUAUGAGAUUUACUUUGUUAUAUUGAGAAACUAUAAAUACCCUUGAUAUACUCUUGUAUUAGGUUGCACACUUUAUACCCUGACAAAUAUAUAUUCAUUUUAAGAUUGACCUUUGA